rnacentral:rRNA from 1 species
CCUACGGGAGGCAGCAGUGAGGAAUAUUGGUCAAUGGACGAGAGUCUGAACCAGCCCAGUAGCGUGAAGGAUGACUGCCCUAUGGGUUGUAAACUUCUUUUAUAUGGGAAUAAAAUGUUCCACGUGUGGGAUUUUGUAUGUACCAUAUGAAUAAGGAUCGGCUAACUCCGUGCCAGCAGCCGCGGUAAUACGGAGGAUCCGAGCGUUAUCCGGAUUUAUUGGGUUUAAAGGGAGCGUAGGUGGAUUGUUAAGUCAGUUGUGAAAGUUUGCGGCUCAACCGUAAAAUUGCAGUUGAAACUGGCAGUCUUGAGUACAGUAGAGGUGGGCGGAAUUCGUGGUGUAGCGGUGAAAUGCUUAGAUAUCACGAAGAACUCCGAUUGCGAAGGCAGUUCACUGGACUGCAACUGACACUGAGGCUCGAAAGUGUGGGUAUCAAACAGGAUUAGAUACCCCAGUAGUC